UACGGAGGGUGCAAGCGUUGUCCGGAUUAUUGGGUUUAAAGGGUGCGUAGGCGGAUGAAUAAGUCCGAGGUGAAAGACGGUCGCUUAACGAUCGCAGUGCCUUGGAUACUGUUUAUCUUGAGUACAGAUGAGGCUGAUGGAAUGGGUGGUGAGCGGUGAAAUGCAUAGAUACCAUCCAGAACACCGAUUGCGAAGGCAGUCAGCUAAACUGGCACUGACGCUGAGGCACGAAAGCGUGGGGAUCAAACAGG
rnacentral:rRNA from 1 species